GCCGGGUGCGGUGGCUCACGCCUGUAAUCCCAGCACUUUGGGAGGCUGAGGCGGGUGGAUCACCUGAGGUCAGGAGUUCAAGACCAGCCUGGCCAACAUGGUGAAACCCUGUCUCUA
rnacentral:SRP_RNA from 1 species